rnacentral:lncRNA from 1 species
CUUCCAGUGCCUUAAUCCCUUACCAGGUUCUCCGUAUUCUCUUUCUUCUUACAUCCCAUCUUAGGCUACUUGAAUAAAUUUGAACUUAUGUUUGUCAAUGUAACUGAUUUUAUAUUUUUGUUACUCGUAACUUCUCUGCAUUUUUUAUUUUUUUUUUGUCUUGGAAGAAGUGGUAAUCCACUAAAAUUAAACUCAUCCACAACUGUGAGGUCUCGGAUUCGAACCCGGGUCACGACGUCGUGCCUUGCAAUUUCAUCAUUUAAUGAUACAUUACAUUGGUAAAGAAUUACUUGUUCACUAUGACUAUUAUUAUGACAAUCUAGGUUUGUUUGGUAAAAAAAUAGCCGAUAGUUGAUACACUAGCUUAUAGCAGAUGAUUUAUAAGUUAGCAAUUGAAUUUGUAGUGUUUGGUAAAUUAGUUGUUCAAGUAGCUUAUAAAUAUGAAAUGACAUAAAAAAGUAAGCAUUUAAUUAAUAUUUAUUUUUUAAAUUAAGAUUGCAGGGGUAAAAUAAAGAUAAAAAAUGAUAAGCUAUAAGCUACUUGAAUUAGCUUAUCAAAAACCGCUAUAAGCUCAAGAAAAUAAGAUAUAAGCUUGUGUAAAAAUGACAAUUAGCAAACAGGUCUCUUUUAAUCAUAUGAGCUGAUAAGGUAUAAGCCAUAAGCUCAAUUUUAUGUUUUACCAAACAUUCACAUAACAAUUGUUAACUUAUCCUUGAUAUUUAAAUUUACUAGAAAAAUAAAAUGGUAGGAAAGCCUCGAGUUCAUGAUUUAACGGUCAGGUAUGGUCAUGAGAGUCCUAGUAGCAUCAUGAGCUCAAGGCUUGUAAUAAUCACAUCACAUUGAUACUAGAACUCUAGAAUACUAACACUAUCAGAACCCAAAUCAAAGUAGAUGAGAAAAGUAGGGUUAUCUUAAAAUUUCCAAGUUCAUUAUGUUCCGUUUGACAGUCUCGAGAGGAGGAAAUGAGAGGGCUUUGGGGUGGGGAGGGGAGGGAAAGAGAAAAAUCUCACAGUUUAUUUGAAAAGGAAAUGCUUAUGUUUAAUGUAUUUUAUUUAGUUUUAUUUUUGAGAGUAUUAUAAAAAGAUGGAAGUGAUUUGAAUAUUUUUUAAGCUCUUUAAAGUCCUCUUGCAGUACAUUUUUUGAGUUCUCCAAUAUUAGGGGGAAUUUGUAUUAUGAAGAGAAGUAAACCUCAUAUUCAAGUGUGUGGAAUAUCCUCUUUCCCCUUCCCUUUUCCCAAAGUCCUUCCAUACAGAGUCUAAUAUGUUUAUUGGAUCCUUGGACACUGUACAGUUGCUAGAUAAUGGCUAGGGUUUGUUGUAUUAUAGAAUGUUGCACUUAUUUUUCAAUAGUAUAAUGGCGGAGAUUAUAACCACCAUUUUAUACCAUAUGUAUUGUGGCGCUCUAUAGUAAACUGCCCGUCGCUUAUAAUUAACGGCAGCAGGGUUUGUGGCAUUCUGGUAAACAACCACUCGUAAAAAAACGCUACUAAAAUUGCCAUUAUUUGCAAAACAAACCUCCAUUUUUACAUGUCUGAUUUGAUUUGUGAGACUUGUAAUAUUUUGUUCUGGUUCUAAGGGUAGAAUUCAGAUUACAUGCCUCUCUUAUUGAAUGAUCUAAAUGCUAUAAUUUCAUUUAUUUAUUUUAACUAAAGUGGUAAAAUGAAGAUACACUGCAUAAUAAUGAUGCUGGCUGUUGUGGAAAAUACGUUAGGAAAUUGUGUAAUGCAAUUUGAUCUCGUCUUGGUUGGUGUCAUUAUGGGUGAUGAUUUUGGUUGUAAACUUUUAUGCACACUUUUGCUCAUUAUUAAUAUACUCCCUUUUGUUCUUGCAAAACAAAACCUGAUCAAAUCAAUGAUUCAAAUUGCAUUAGUUAGUGAUAAGUAUAAGCAAAUUUUGACAUUUAACUAUGUUUGUAUCCAUCUUUAUUCGCAUAGUUUGUGC